GACGAACGCUGGCGGCGUGCUUAACACAUGCAAGUCGAACGGGAAGGCCCUGCUUUUGUGGGGUGCUCGAGUGGCGAACGGGUGAGUAACACGUGGGUAACCUGCCCUUGACUUUGGGAUAACUGCAGGUAACUGGGGCUAAUACCGGAUAGGAGCUCCUGCUGCAUGGGGGGGGUUGGAACGUUUCGGCGGGUGGGGAUGGACGCGCGGCUUAUCAGCUUGUUGGUGGGGUAGUGGCUUACCAAGGCAUUGACGGGUAGCCGGCCUGAGAGGGUGACCGGACACAUUGGGACUGAGAUACGGCCCAGACUCGUACGGGAGGCAGCAGUGGGGAAUAUUGCACAAUGGGAGGAGGCCUGAUGCAGCAACGCAGCGUGCGGGAUGACGGCCUUCGGGUUGUAAACCGAUUUCGCCUGUGACGAAGCGUGAGUGACGGUAAUGGGUAAAGAAGCACCGGCUAACUACGUG
rnacentral:rRNA from 1 species